rnacentral:rRNA from 1 species
AGAGUUUGAUCAUGGCUCAGGAUGAACGCUGGCGGCGUGCUUAACACAUGCAAGUCGAACGAACCUUCGGGUUAGUGGCGGACGGGUGAGUAACGCGUGAGAAUCUGCCCUCAGGAGGGGGAUAACGGUUGGAAACGACCGCUAAUACCCCAUAUGCCUACUGGUGAAAUGAAUUUUGCCUGAGGAUGAGCUCGCGUCUGAUUAGCUAGUUGGUGAGGUAAUGGCUCACCAAGGCUUCGAUCAGUAGCUGGUCUGAGAGAUGAUCAGCCACACUGGGACUGAGACACGGCCCAGACUCCUACGGGAGGCAGCAGUGGGGAAUUUUCCGCAAUGGGCGAAAGCCUGACGGAGCAACGCCGCGUGAGGGACGAAGGCCUCUGGGCUGUAAACCUCUUUUCUCAAGGAAGAAGAUAUGACGGUACUUGAGGAAUAAGCCACGGCUAAUUCCGUGCCAGCCGCCGCGGU